GACGAACGCUGGCGGCGUGCCUAAUACAUGUAAGUCGAACGCACUCUCGUUUAGAUUGAAGGAGUUUGCUCCUGAUUGAUAAACAUUUGAGUGAGUGGCGGACGGGUGAGUAACACGUGGGUAACCUGCCCUAAAGUGGGGGAUAACAUUUGGAAACAGAUGCUAAUACCGCAUAAAACCUAACACCGCAUGGUGUAGGGUUGAAAGAUGGUUUCGGCUAUCACUUUAGGAUGGACCCGCGGUGCAUUAGUUAGUUGGUGAGGUAAAGGCUCACCAAGACCGUGAUGCAUAGCCGACCUGAGAGGGUAAUCGGCCACACUGGGACUGAGACACGGCCCAGACUCCUACGGGAGGCAGCAGUAGGGAAUCUUCCACAAUGGACGAAAGUCUGAUGGAGCAACGCCGCGUGAGUGAAGAAGGUUUUCGGAUCGUAAAACUCUGUUGUUGGAGAAGAAUGUAUCUGAUAGUAACUGAUCAGGUAGUGACGGUAUCCAACCAGAAAGCCACGGCUAACUACGUG
rnacentral:rRNA from 1 species